CAUUCACCUUGUUGCCUUUUCCUCAAUAACCUGUGUAAUUUCACACUUUUGACUUUAAAAGAAAGCAACAUGCUGGGGUAUAAGGGAAAUAUUUGAUAUUUGGUGGUUUAUUUAUUCAUGUAAGUUGUAUUUUGUAAGGUUUGAGUUGAAAAACUUUGGAUUUUUUUCCCUAAACACCAUCCUAACGCAUUUGGACAAUAGUUCUGGAGUGACUCUUGGGGAUGGUGCAGGGCAGGGCAAGAGUUGGGCUCUGAUCCCUGUGGGUCCCUUCCAGCUCAGCAGAUUCUGAGUGCAUAUUAAAGCCUUGAUGUUUGUAACAAAAGAAUUAUAUUUGAAGCCACAGAGUAACUGGUUUUUGACUCUUUGCUGUAGGAGCUGGACUGGGUGAUCCUGAUGAACCCCUUCCAAUCACUGCAUCCUGUAAUUCUGUGACAUGGACUGAGGCAGCCUGUGGGGCAGGAUGGACAGCAGGACAGCAGGGACAGGCAAUGCUCACUCAUUUCUGACCCCCACCAACCUAGGGUAGAAGAACCAGGACCUCCAGUGUUUUUAAACAGGAAAUUGUGUGUGCCCCAUUGCUGUGUACAUUUACUGUGAUGGUGGAACUUGUGAGCUCUGGGAUCACAGGGAUACAGCCAGACUGUGUGGAAUUAGACAUAAAUUUGUUCUCACACCAGUUGUGAGCAGGUAGCUGAAAACCUGUUGAAGGUAAUAAUAAACUUUCUCACUGGUGAACAUCAGAGAAAUCCCAGGAGUUCCUGAAUUUGUCACAGGAAGCCUCAAAUGAGUUGAAGUUCUGGUCUGGAGUCAUGGUCAUGCCUGGGUACAAAGAGCCUCUGCUUGUAGCUGUUCAGAAAAAAAGGAGUCCAGACUGUGGGCUGUUCUUGCCUUCCCAUGAAAUUCCACUCUUCCCCUGGUUUAGGUACAGGAAGGAAAGAAUCCAUCUGUGGCAUUUCCCUGUGCAAGAUGCCAAAUGUUCAGUUGGAAAGGAGGUUUCUUCCCCCAGUCAGAACUGUCUCCUCUGUACCUCAAGAACUUCCUGUAGGAAAUUUUUAGACUGCUGGUGGAGCCCCAUGGAAUGAGUCAGCUCUGUGCUGCUUUCAGUCCUGUGAAUGAAAGGAGUCUGGAGGCAUAAUUUCCUUAUUACUGCAGCAUGGGUUUGAGAAAAUUGUAGAAUUCACUGCUUUCUCAUAGAUAUGUCUGUCUAAUUGACAGAAAGAAAACACCAAAGCCUCGUGUGAAUCA
rnacentral:lncRNA from 1 species